GUUACAAAGCACAAUAGACAUGCUUGUGCCUAUCUUAAAACUACAAUAUUACAGUGGUAGUCAACACGCGUUUAAAAAGGCUAAUGGUAAUUCGGCGGUUACCGUUUGAGCAGGGCGAUUUCGCCGAAAGCCUUCCGCGAUUAUGCCCCCUUCGGCAGUACUUUUCCAUUCAGUCGAAUAGGACCAUUCAAACGAUAGCGGAUAGGAUGAACGAAUUCCCUUAGUCGGACAUACGUGCCUAUGCAACUUGACGAUCUACGUGCGUCGAAGCAUAGCAAUUAUGUUUCGUGUAUACUUUGUUAUUAGCGUUUGUUUAUUUCCGCUCCUACAUUAACUGUUUCGGUUGGAUAAUAGGACUAUUUUGGCAUGACGCGCAAUCUGGACUACAGUUCGAACGUAUGAGCCUCGGAUUACUUCGUCAGCAGAUCGACUAACUUACUUUAGCGGACUGAUCGACGGACGAUGUACAUCCUGAAUAACUUCGAGAUCUAACUACUUUCCUGGGUUCUGCGGCACUUUUAUUAAUAGUCGUGAAUUUGAACUUUCUCAAAGAAAACCUCCAAAACGUUUUACAUUUUCCUAUUUAAGGACACUCAUUCAGUUGUCGCGACUGCAACGUAAGAAAACGCUUUGUAAGAUGUAGGUGCCGAUUGUGCCUCGUAUUGCAUUAGCACAUCUAACAUGAUUUUGUUAAUUCGAAAAUGAAAAUGUCCGUCCGUGAGGUGUUGCAUUAGAAGAAGGGAUUUUUUUGUUUUUGACAAAAGUGUUGUAUUCGCUGAAAAGAAAAUAAUUUUUCUAAAUUACACAACGAGCUCGAAAAAGCCCCGUUGGCUACUUGAUUGAUUCUCAACUUGGAUUUUUUUCU